GGCGUGCUGAAAACGGAGCUGUUUUUGAGCAGUUAAAAUUUGUGUUUUCUUAAAACACUAAUGAGAAUUUUUAAUAAAAGUAUAUUACAAAGUUUUCAUUUAGACCCUAAAGAUUCAUAUUAACUUGUACAAAAAUGGCAUUAUAUGACCCCUUUAAGGUUACAAAUACACACACACACACACACACUCCAUCAUUGCAAUCUUGACAUUGCAGCCUGUUCAUUAUAGCCGCAAUAAAAUAUAAUAAUAAAAUAGUAAACCUACCAUAUAAAAAUUACUCUGUUUAAAUAGUCAGUAGUACAAUUCGUAUCAUUCACAGUAAGCACCGCUCCACUGUGAUGUUUCCAAGCAUAUUUUUGCGCAUGUAAAGAGGAUGAUUUUCUACGUCGGUAUUGCAGCGUGAGUAAAGUACAAAGCCUAUAAUAACUGGCAGAAGGCAGUAAGAGAAACAGGAAGUCUGUUAUAACUUCUGCAUACAUUAAUUGAUCUCGACGAAACUUCAGCAGUGUGUUCGCUGUAAGAGGCCGAUCGCAUGGAUGUUGCUAUUGUGAGUCAGUUAUAGCGCCACCAACUGGCAGAAGGAAGUGUGUCACUUUCAAAAUGCUUUUAA